CAGUCGCCGCGGUAAUACGGAGGGUGCAAGCGUUAUCCGGAUUCACUGGGUUUAAAGGGUGCGUAGGCGGGCAGGUAAGUCAGUGGUGAAAUCUUCGAGCUUAACUCGGAAACUGCCGUUGAUACUAUCUGUCUUGAAUAACGUUGAGGUGAGCGGAAUAUGUCAUGUAGCGGUGAAAUGCUUAGAUAUGACAUAGAACACCGAUUGCGAAGGCAGCUCACUAAACGCUCAUUGACGCUGAGGCACGAAAGCGUGGGGAUCAAACAGGAUUAGAGACCCCUGUAGUCCCUGUCUCUUAUAC
rnacentral:rRNA from 1 species